AUGGGGCUGCCAUCCAAGCUGAGGGGUGAGGUCACCACCAGAGUACCAGAGGAUCAGCCACCUCUACGAUUCCAGCUGGCCCUGGAGCUGUACCUCCGCAACUACUAUAAGGCUGCCGAAGCCGCCGCCACUAAGGCGGCCGCCAGCAGCCUGAAUGCAGGCAAGAAGCAGUGCCGCACCGUGAGUGGAGGCCGGUUCCUCUUCCUACUCCUGGCCCCAAAGGAGGGUCUCCGGAAGGCAGACAGACCGAAAGAGUCAAUUAAGGAAUUCUUUAGAGGAUUAAAUAUCAGUGCAGUGCGUUUACCACGUGAACCCAGCAAUCCAGAGAGGCUGAAAGGUUUUGGUUAUGCUGAAUUUGAGGAACUAGAUUCCCUGCUCAGUGCCCUGAGUCUCAAUGAAGAGUCUCUAGGUAACAGAAGAAUUCAAGUGGACGUUGCUGAUCAAGUACAGGAUAAAGACUGGGAUGAUCAUUCUUUCGGCCGUAAUAGAAAUCGGGAUUCUGACAAAACUGAUACAGACUGGAGGGCUCCUCCUGCUACAGACAGCUUUAAUGACUACCCGCCUAGAAGAGGUGAUGAUAGCUUUGGAGACAAGUAUCGAGAUCGUUAUGAUUCAGACCGGUAUCAUGAUGGAUAUCGGGAUGGGUAUUGGGAUGGCCCAUGCCGGGAUAUGGAUCCAUAUGGUGGCUGGGAUCGCUAUGAUGACUGAGGCAGCAGAGGCAGCAGAGACUAUUCCUGGAUUGGCAGUGGCAGAAGAGCAUUUGGCAGUGGGUAUCGCAGGGAUGAUGACUAUAGAAGAGGUGGGGACCGCUAUGAAGACCGAUAGGACAGACGGGAUGAUCGGUCGUGGAGCUCCAGAGAUGAUUACUCUCGGGAUGAUUAUAGGCGUGAUGAUAGAGGUCCCCCCGCCAAAGACCCAAACUGAAUCUAAAGCCUUGGAGUACUCCUAAGGAAGAUGAUUCCUCUGCUAGUACCUCCCAGUCCAGUCGAGCUGCUUCUAUCUUUGGACAGGCAAAGCCCGUUGACACAGCUGCUAGAGAAAGAGAAGUAGAAGAACGGCUACAGAAGGAACAAGAGAAGUUGCAGCGUCAACUGGAUGAGCCAAAACUAGAACGAUGGCCUCGGGAGGGACACCCAAGCUGGCGAAGUGAAGAAACUCAGGAACAGGAACGGGAACAGUCGAGGACAGGAAGUGAGUCAUCGCAGACUGGGACCUCCACCACAUCUGGCAGAAAUGCACGGAGAGAGAGUGAGAAGUCUCUAGAAAAUGAAACACUCAAUAAGGAGGAAGAUUGUCACUCUCCAACUUCUAAACCUCCCAAACCUGAUCAGCCCCUAAAGGUAAUGCCAGCCCCUCCACCAAAGGAGAAUGCUUGGGUGAAGCGAAGUUUUAACCCUCCUGCUCCAUCUCAGAGCUCAGACACAGAGCAACAAUCCCCUACAAGUGGUGGGGGAAAAGUAGCUCCAGCUCAACCAUCUGAGGAAGGACCAGCAAGGAAAGAUGAAAAUAAAGUAGAUGGGAUGAAUGUCCCAAAAGGCCAGACUGGGAACUCUAACCGUGGUCCAGGAGAUGGAGGGAACAAAGACCACUGGAAGGAGUCAGAUAGGAAAGAUGGCAAAAAGGAUCAAGACUGCAGAUCUGCACCUGAGCCAAAGAAACCUGAGGAAAAAUUCAGCUUCCAAGUUCAGUUCUGCAAGCAAGUAUGCUGCUCUC